GAAAACAUCUCCAAUUAUGUAUCUAGCUCCCAUUUGCAAUCUGGUGAUUUUGUUGACUUCAACACUCUGACUAAUCCUCAUCAAGGAGCAGCAACAGCAGUGGCAGGAAUAGCAGAACUGAUGGUAGUUGGAAGAAGUGAUGGAUCAGUUGGAUUCUUCCAGCUUGGCAUCCUUGACCAACAAGCUCCAGGCUUUGUGCAGGAACUGCGUGAUGAUUCUGGUCUUGGUCGUUUGUGGGGCGUUUUGUCAAGGGGAAGGUCAAAUGCUGCAGUCCAGGAUCUAGUAAUAUCAGAGUUUCACCAGAAAAAGCUUCUAUUCGUGCUUCACUCUGAUGGGAACUUACGUGUGUGGGACCUUUCAAAUCGUUCCAGAAUUUUCAGUCAUUCUUUAAGUGUUUCACCAUCAGCAGGAUCCACUUUUGUAAGGAUAUGUGUGGGAAACGACCACAACAAUCCUGAUGCAAUUCCUAUGGCAGUACUGCAAAAAAAUGAUUCGGAAGUUGGCACAGCAGUGAUCUCUUUAUAUAACCUUCAUCUCAGUACUGGGGACAGAAUUAACUUGUUACUGGAUCCUUCAACAAAAAGCAUCUCGUUGGAAGAGGGGGACCUCAUUGAUAUAAAACUUACUCCAAACAAGUUGUGGAUACUCAGAGAAAAUGGAUUGGUCAUGAAGGAGUUGUCUUGUCAAAAUAGGAAUGAGGAAUUAGCGCAUUGCUAUUCUUUACAGGAUGCAUUUGUUGCUGAGCAGCUGUUUCAAGGCUCUGAAAAUUCGUCAGAUGAUCUACUUUGGCUUUCUCACACAGUUUUGUCAUCUUCAAAGGAUCAGAUUUCUCCGUUUGUAUCUUCUGUUUUCUUACAAAGGUUGCUCCUUCCGGGUGUUUAUCACAGAAAUGUUCUUCGGGUAACAUUACAAUAUUUUAGCAAGCACUUCACUGAUUCCGAAUUUGACUCUCUGACUGUGGACGGACUGAGAAAUGAAAUUCUGUCAGUCAUUCAACACGAGGUGGGAGCUGAUAGUCCAAUUUCAGUACUUCAGAGCUGGAAAACCUUUUGUACCUGUUAUUUUAAUAAUUGGUGCAAAACUAAUGUAGCG
rnacentral:misc_RNA from 1 species